rnacentral:rRNA from 1 species
AGGAUGAACGCUGGCGGUCUGCUUAACACAUGCAAGUCGAACGGAGUACCUCGGUACUUAGUGGCGGACGGGUGAGUAACGCGUGAGAAUCUGCCCUUAGGUCGGGGACAACCAUUGGAAACGAUGGCUAAUACCGGAUAAGCCGAGAGGUAAAAGAUUAAUUGCCUAGGGAAGAGCUCGCGUCUGAUUAGCUAGUUGGUGAGGUAAAGGCUCACCAAGGCAUCGAUCAGUAGCUGGUCUGAGAGGAUGAUCAGCCACACUGGGACUGAGACACGGCCCAGACUCCUACGGGAGGCAGCAGUGGGGAAUUUUCCGCAAUGGGCGAAAGCCUGACGGAGCAAGACCGCGUGAGGGAGGAAGGCUCUUGGGUUGUAAACCUCUUUCUUGGGGAAGAACAAAAUGACGGUACCCAAGGAAUCAGCAUCGGCUAACUCCGCGCAGCAGCCGC